rnacentral:snRNA from 1 species
GUGCUUGCUUUGGCAGCACAUAUACUAAAAUUGGAACGAUACAGAGAAGAUUAGCAUGGCUCCUGCGCAAGGGUGACACGCAAAUUCAUGAAGCAUUCCAUAUUUUU